rnacentral:rRNA from 1 species
ACGAACGCUGGCGGCGUGCUUAACACAUGCAAGUCGAACGGAAAGGCCCUGCUUUUGUGGGGUGCUCGAGUGGCGAACGGGUGAGUAACACGUGAGUAACCUGCCCUUGACUUUGGGAUAACUUCAGGAAACUGGGGCUAAUACCGGAUAGGAGCUCCUGCUGCAUGGUGGGGGUUGGAAAGUUUCGGCGGUUGGGGAUGGACUCGCGGCUUAUCAGCUUGUUGGUGGGGUAGUGGCUUACCAAGGCUUUGACGGGUAGCCGGCCUGAGAGGGUGACCGGCCACAUUGGGACUGAGAUACGGCCCAGACUCCUACGGGAGGCAGCAGUGGGGAAUAUUGCACAAUGGGCGGAAGCCUGAUGCAGCAACGCCGCGUGCGGGAUGACGGCCAUCGGGUUGUAAACCGCUUUCGCCUGUGGCGAAGCGUGAGUGACGGUAAUGGGUAAAGAAGCACCGGCUAACUACGUG